GAUGAACGCUGGCGGCGUGCCUAAUACAUGCAAGUCGAGCGAACAGACGAGGAGCUUGCUCCUCUGACGUUAGCGGCGGACGGGUGAGUAACACGUGGAUAACCUACCUAUAAGACUGGGAUAACUUCGGGAAACCGGAGCUAAUACCGGAUAAUAUAUUGAACCGCAUGGUUCAAUAGUGAAAGACGGUUUUGCUGUCACUUAUAGAUGGAUCCGCGCCGCAUUAGCUAGUUGGUAAGGUAACGGCUUACCAAGGCAACGAUGCGUAGCCGACCUGAGAGGGGGAUCGGCCACACUGGAACUGAGACACGGUCCAGACGCCUACGGGAGGCAGCAGUAGGGAAUCUUCCGCAAUGGGCGAAAGCCUGACGGAGCGACGCCGCGUGAGUGAUGAAGGUCUUCGGAUCGUAAAACUCUGUUAUUAGGGAAGAACAAAUGUGUAAGUAACUAUGCACGUCUUGACGGUACCUAAUCAGAAAGCCACGGCUAACUACGUG
rnacentral:rRNA from 1 species